GUGCGCGGGAGGUCGAGGUGUGGGCCUGCACGGCCGGGCCGUGCUGAGCCGCGGGACGCGCUCUCCCUCCACGCGCGGGGCCUGCUGGUGCUGGCUUUGGGUGGCAGGGUGGGGAUUUGAGGCGGGGACCAUCCUGACCCGGGGCACAGGGCUCGGCCUGGCGAGACCCCCGCCCUGUCCUCCCUACCUGCGGUGCCCGAGUACUCAGCCACGGUGAGCGGGUACCCGUCCUCCUCGGGGUCCACGGAGAACAAGCCCACGCCGAAGCUCCUGUAGCGGGCGAACGCCGUGCCGUUGUCGAAGUCCUCCAGGUCCACGUGCAGCUCGUAGGCGGCCUGCGUGGUCAGCGCAUGGAUCCUCUUGAGCCCUGGAGCGGGGAGAGGAUGCCGAGAGAAGUGGAGGGGCUGAGGAGGCGACCCCCAGAAAGAACGGAGGGGAAGUGAAAGCUGAGAGCGUGUUUGGCGACCGAAGGGCAACCACCACCAAGUGUGCGCUGCCUGCUCCAGGCUGCCUCCUUCUUCCUCCCUGCAGGCCUGUGUUUGGCAGGAAGCUGAAGACAGCGCCUCUGCGCUGCUGGGCACCUGUCCCUGCCCCUCCCCUGGGCACCUUCAGGGUCGCUGCCUCCUUUGCCACCCAAGCCCCCUGCCAGGGCUCAUCACCCUGGGUGCCAGCCACCUGUCCCCGUGUUUCCUGACCCAGAAGCAGCUGAUCCUGCACAGAGGCAGUGCCUGCGGCUCCUGCUGUGCCCAGGCCUGGCCCUGCACUCCGGCCCACCCACCUGCUUCCCCUGCCUCCUGGGUCACACACACUCGGGCUGGCCCCCUGCCUCUGUGAUUAGCUACUGAUUAAGAGGGCGUUUAAUUAAUCACCCAGGUUAGCAGCAGCAGUGACAUUUCAUCAGCCUCUCCACGCUGCCUGCCUUGUGCCAGCCCCCCGGGCCCAGUGUGUGGCACCAGGGCAGGAGGGCAGGACAGACCCCACCCAGCUGCAGGGAAGCGGCUUCUUCCUGUCCGCCAGCCCAGGGGCAGCCAUGGGCAGACCAAGGACAACGGCCACCAGGACCUCAGCCCCUGGCCCUCGGGGAAGUUGCUCCCCACCUCUGGGCCCUGCACACCUGCAGAGCAACCCCCAGAGCAGAUGUGGGGCCAGGAGGCUCCCAGGGAGAUGGUCGGGGCUGAUGGACCCCAGCACACCGUGGCCCUUCCCACAGCACCUGCAGCCGCUCCCAUCCAGGUGUUCACAGUUGCUGUGCUGCUGCCGCUGAGCGCAGCAAAUGCUAACACCAUCCCUGUCGCCCCAAGGACAAGAGGUUAAGGAGCUGGCGCAGGUCGCAUGGCUAUCCGGUGGAUGUGACCCCAGGCUCUUAGUCAUACCUGCCUGGUCCAAAUCGCAUGCUCGGACAGACAGAACGUGAGGGGCUGAGAGGGAGUGGAUCCCCUCUGUGCCGCUGCAGGGUGGCUGCUCCCUGAAGACCCACCAGCAGGGGGUGUCCCGUCACCCAGGCAGGCUAGGGUGCGCCUCCCCACGCCCAUCCUACCCUUCCCUCCGGCUCCCUGGGCCUCCCCAGCCCUGCUGGUUGUCCAGGACUUCUGCUGCCAGCCCUGGGGACUGCGCGAUGCAGCUCACUGCCCCUCAAAGAGCAAGUCACAGGGGCGAGCGGCAAGGGGGUGCAGAGGGGAAGCCCCAUAGCGCCCCAGCCUCACACAGCCCAUCGGUGAAUUUGCAGGUGGAUUCAAGAGCCCAACCUAAAACACUAACAGGAAAAAAGCAAAGAAAAACAGGAAAUAAUGAUGCUGGAAGACACAUGACUGGGACCGCUGCAGAUAGAUUUCAAUUAAGAUGUGGCGCCCGCCGAGCAGGAAGACGCUGGGGCUGCUCGGAGCAGGGGAGGGCAGCAGCAGCACCACUCUCUGAGGUGAUGAGAAGUUUCCAGGACAGACAGACGUCAGCAGGUGCCCAGGGUGGCUGGUACUCCCCUCCUGCGGGCAGCCCCAUGGGGCACCGGGCCAAGGAGGGGAAGGCCCUGCCCUCCCGGACCCCAGGCUAGGGACAGCUGGGUGUUAAUGGCAGCAAGACACCCCACGGGCCCCCAUGCCCGCCGGGGAGUGGGCACCUCGAACCCUGCCCUGCCUUUGGCGCCCAGGGCCUCUCUGAAGCCCUUACGGACACAACUUGAGACCUCCGGUUCCUGCCUGGUACCAGACCUGGAUCUCAGCCCUUUGGGAGGUGACUCCCUGCCACAGGGCUCCCCAGUCCCCACCCUGCCUCCCGCCAUGCACUUGGCUUCCCAGGUACCCGGGAUGGACGGCCACACGGGGCGACACAUUCACCGCAGAGUGCAUGUGUGGUGGGGUGACUGCAGGUGUGCAGAUGGUGUGGCCAGGAACGACCAGCACGCGCCCCUGGGGCUCCUGGGCCUGUGGGGAGCCCGUGGGCCCCACUGUCCAGCACUAACAGGGGCACCUGGGUUGGGAGAGGCGGCGGCGACCCUGCCCAGAGUCCAGGCACCUUCCUGAGGGGGCGGCCUGAAGAUGAGCCCAGGUGGCGGAGAUAAGCGUCCGGGACAUGGCCUCUGGCCAGGGUGAAAACUGUCCUGGGAUUCGUGGGGGUGGCUGCGGAGCUAUGAGCAUGAGCUAAAAACCUCGGAAGUGUCCACCGCAGACGGUCACUGUGCUGUGAAAGAACUGUAUCUCCACACGACAGCAAAAUCAAGCCUCGGCCCACAGCCACCACCCGGACACAUCCACGCUGGACCCUGAGCUUGGGAGUUGGCGGCUGUAACUGAUUAGAAUGGAAUUAGACAAGAUAUUCAGAAUGCUCAAAACACUGAGCCAAUUUAGAGGUGAACACUGAGUACUAACGGCCUCAGCGUCACCCGGGCAGUGUCCCUGCCACAGGAGGACCUGCGGGCGCAACACGGGCCAGAGCCACCUGCCGCUCUCCGGGCUCCGUGCGGAGCCCAAGAGCAGACAGUGCAGGGCGCUCCUUGGUCCUCAGGGCCUGAGGUGCUGCCUGCACCGCAGUGGUCUGAGAUCCAGGGCAGUGAGUGACCAGGCACAGGGAUGCACUGGCCACAGUGCUGUCCUCGUCCUCAGAUGACUGGUCAUCUUCCCACGUGGCCUCAGGCAUGUGAGGCCAGGGAACCCGGAUGCUGUCUGCUCAUGGGGGCCAGGACUCUUACCUAGCCAGUGUUCCCCCGUGAGCUUUCCGAAGCCCUCCCGGUACGCGUCCCAGCCCCGGAAGAAGUUCACGGAGCCGUCCUCACGGCGCUGGAACACCUGCAGGACAGGAGGGGGAGAGCUGCGUCCCCAAUGCGUCCCAGGAUCCCAGGUCCCAGCGGGCCCGCCUCACCCCAGGACUCCCACACCCCACUCCUGACCAGGCUCCCCGAUGGCCCCCAUGGCUCCCAGCCCCAGCUCCAGAGCGGCAUGGUGGCCAGGGUGGGACUGGGUGACUGGCCACGGCUCCUUCCACGUCCAGCAAGACAGGCUCUCCGUGGACUGGAGGACACCCAGCCUCUGCGACCUCUGCUGCUUCGCUGCAGGGGCUGGGCCCUUUCUGGCACUGGGCCUCAGUUUCUCCAGUGAUGAAAAAAGGGCCAAGAGUCCUGAUAUAAUUUUCCAGGUCAAAAUAAAAUAGAACAAAAACCAUCAUGGAGGGUG